rnacentral:tRNA from 1 species
GAUUAUUUAGUUUAUAAAAAACAUUUGUUUUGAAAACAUAUAUAAAGAAUAAAAUUUCUUAAUAAUCA